CCUACGGGAGGCAGCAGUGGGGAAUAUUGCGCAAUGGGGGGAAACCCUGACGCAGCAACGCCGCGUGAGUGAGGAAGGACUUCGGUCUGUAAAGCUCUGUUAAUGAGGAAAAAUGGUAGUUGGUCUAAUAGGCCGAUUAUUUGAUGGUACUCAUAGAGGAAGCACCGGCUAACUUCGUGCCAGCAGCCGCGGUAAUACGAAGGGUGCAAGCGUUGUUCGGAUUUAUUGGGCGUAAAGCGCGCGUAGGCGGACCUGCAAGUAAGAUGUGAAAUCUCGAGGCUCAACCUCGAAACUGCGUCUUAAACUACAGGUCUAGAAUCUCGGAGGGGGAAGGGAAUUUCGCAUGUAGGGGUAAAAUCCGUAGAUAUGCGAAGGAACACCAGAGGCGAAGGCGCCUUCCUGGACGAGUAUUGACGCUGAGGCGCGAAAGCGUGGGGGAUCAAACAGGAUUAGAUACCCUGGUAGUCCACGCUGUAAACGAUGAACACUAGGUAUUGGAGGAUUUGACCCCCUUNAGUGCCGUAGCUAACGCGUUAAGUGUUCCGCGUGGAAGUCGGUCGCAAGACUAAACNCAAUGAAUUGACGNGNGAGACGNGCGACGGACGACGACGAGGGAGAGG
rnacentral:rRNA from 1 species